AUUGUGUGUGAAAGUUUCCAAGGGCGCAUGGUGGAUGCCUUGGCAACAGGAGCCGAAGAAGGACGUGGGAAUCUGCGAUAAGCCUGGUGGAGUCGAUAACCGGACGUUGAGACCAGGAUUUCCGAAUGGGGAAACCCCGCACGACGUGUCGUGUGACCCCCGGUUGAACACAUAGACCGGGUGGAGGGAACGUGGGGAAGUGAAACAUCUCAGUACCCACAGGAAGAGAAAACAAAAGUGAUUCCGUUAGUAGUGGCGAGCGAACGCGGAUGGGGCUAAACCGUAUGUGUGUGAUACCCGGCAGGGGUUGCAUGUGCGGUGUUGUGGGCCCCUCCUUGUCAUGUCUGCCGGCAUGGCGCAGUGAGGUGCGGGCAUAUAGACGAACCAGUGUGGAUGCUGGACCGUAGAGGGUGAGAGUCCCGUAGUCGAAAUGUGUUCCGCCGCUGUUGGAGGGUUGCCCGAGUAGCACGGGGCCCGAG
rnacentral:rRNA from 1 species